CCUACGGGGGGCAGCAGUGGGGAAUUUUGCACAAUGGGGGAAACCCUGAUGCAGCGACGCCGCGUGAUUUAGAAGGCCUUCGGGUUGUAGAAAUCUUUUGUAUAGGAAGAAAAUGACAGUACUAUACGAAUAAGGUCCGGCUAAUUACGUGCCAGCAGCCGCGGUAAUACGUAAGGACCGAGCGUUGUCGGGAAUCAUUGGGCGUAAAGGGUACGUAGGCGGCUAGAAAAGUUAGAAGUCAAAGGCUAUAGCUCAACUAUAGUAAGCUUCUAAAACUAUUUAGCUUGAGAGAUGGAAGGGAAAGUGGAAUUCCUAGUGUAGCGGUGGAAUGCGCAGAUAUUAGGAGGAAUACCGGUGGCGAAGGCGACUUUCUGGUCAUUUUCUGACGCUGAGGUACGAAAGCGUGGGUAGCAAACAGGAUUAGAUACCCUGGUAGUC
rnacentral:rRNA from 1 species